rnacentral:rRNA from 1 species
CCUACGGGGGGCAGCAGUGAGGAAUAUUGGUCAAUGGGCGCGAGCCUGAACCAGCCAAGUCGCGUGAGGGAAGACGGUCCUAUGGAUUGUAAACCUCUUUUGUCGGGGAGCAAAAGACGCCACGCGUGGCGUUCCGAGAGUACCCGAAGAAAAAGCAUCGGCUAACUCCGUGCCAGCAGCCGCGGUAAUACGGAGGAUGCGACCGGUAUCCGGAUUUAUUGGGUUUAAAGGGUGCGCAGGCGGAAGAGCAAGUCAGCGGGAAAAUUGAGAGGCUCAACCUCUUCGAGCCGUUGAAACUGGUUUUCUUGAGUGAGUGAGAAGUAUGCGGAAUGCGUGGUGUAGCGGUGAAAUGCAUAGAUAUCACGCAGAACUCCGAUUGCGAAGGCAGCAUACCGGCGCUCAACUGACGCUCAUGCACGAAAGUGUGGGUAUCGAACAGGAUUAGAUACCCGAGUAGUC